rnacentral:lncRNA from 1 species
CUUGGAUCAAAAAUUCCUCGGAAGGUGCGCGUGUUCAGAGGCGGGGCUUUCUGAGGGGACCGAUGGCGCGAAGGCGCUGAACUCUCAGAGGAUUCCUCUGCAGUUGCAGGCGCUGUGGGGGUGCUGGUUGGAGGAGGCAGGUGCAGGGCAGGCGGCAGAGGUACCGGGUCCACUUCCCCUUCCCCUGUCUCUCCCUUCCCUCUGGGCUACGCGGUGCACGGCCUCCGCUCCGCCCCUUCCGCCGGAAGCUUCUGCCUCGCCAAAGGCUGAGGCAAUGGAGCCUGCAGACCACAGACUGGAAGCUCUCAAACCUUGAGCCCAGAAGAACCUUUCCUCCCUAAAGUCGAUGGAUAGCCGAAUAGAAUGACCUGAACUGAAUUGGGCUACAGAAAAGUUGCUCUGGACUCUCAAUGGAGGAUGGAUCCUAUGGGAAGCUGGAGUGGGGCUGGAGAGACUGGGGCAACGGCCCAGGUAAGAAAGAAACACAGUGUGCAAUCGGAUUGAGGGUGGGAAGUACGGACACUGUCUUUAAGUUUAGUCCUUGUUAUGGUUUGGUUCUAGAUGUUCCUCAUGCAGUCAUAGGUGGGGCUUUUUCAGAGGAGGCUGGAUCUAGAGUGUGUGAUGCUGGGAGUAAGGGUGGGUGAUUACUAAAUCAGUCCACUGAUUGGUUUGGCACCGUCCUAAUCCCCAUAGCCUGGAUACAAUAUAAGGGACAGAAAGAAGCUUGUUUUGUCUCUUGUUGCUUUUUUAUUGCUCUAUUGCAGAAGAGCUGUUUCUCUUCUGUCUGCCACCCUGUCUUGGAGCCAGCUGAUUAUGGACUGAAACCUCUACAAACUGCGAGCUAAAUAAACCUUACUUCCCUUAACUUUGGAUGUCGGGUGUUUUGUCUUAGGAAUGGGGAAAGUAACUAAGACAGUCCUACUGGUGGCCAAGGUCCUUGGCUGUUAGUUGAGCUUGAUUUCAGAGUGCUCUGGCCUCUGAGUGCACACUGUGCCUGGUCUCCUUUCCCAGGGGCCC